rnacentral:piRNA from 1 species
CAUGCGUGUCCGUGUGUGUGUGUGCAUGAA